AUUGAACGCUGGCGGCAGGCCUAACACAUGCAAGUAGAACGAGAGGCGGACGGGUGAGUAAUGUCUGGGAAACUGCCUGCUGGAGGGGGCUAACUGCUGGAAACGGUAGAUAAUAACGCAUACCAUCGGAUGUGCCCAGAUGGGAUUAGCUAGUCGGUGGGGUAAAGGCUCACCUAGGCGACGAUCCCUAGCUGGUCUGAGAGGAUGACCAGCCACACUGGAACUGAGACACGGCCCAGACUCCUAAGGGAGGCAGCAGUGGGGAAUAUUCCACAAUGGGCGCAAGCCUGAUGCAUCCAUGCCGCGUGUAUGAAGAAGGCCUUCGGGUUGUAAAUUACUUUCAGCGGGGAGGCGUUACCCGCAGAAGAAGCAACGGCUAACUCCGUGCCAGCCGCCGCGGUAAUUC
rnacentral:rRNA from 1 species